UGGUCUCGAUCUCCUGACCUCGUGAUCUGCCCGCCUCAGCCUUUUUUGUUGUUGUUGUUGUUUUUUGGAGACAAGGUCUCACUCUGUCACCCAGGCUGGAGUGCAGUGGUGUGAUCACAGCUCACUGCAUCCUAGACCUCCCAGGCUCAGGCAAUCCUCCCACCUCAGCCUCAUUUGUAGCUGGGACUACAGGUGCAUGCCACCAUGCCCAGCUAAUUUUUUGUAGUUUUGGUAGAAAUGGGGUUUCAUCACAUGGCCCAGGCUAGUCUUAAACUCCUGGGCUCCAGCAAUCUGCUUGCCUUGGCCUCCCAAAGUGCUGGGAUUACAGGCAUGAGCUGCUGCACCCGGCCUAAACUAAAAAUGUUCACAUAGUAUAUAGGGAGGAUGUGGGGCGGGGAAGAGCAAAUGUGUAAUGGAGUGAAAUCCUAAACAAUGCCUAAAAUUAAUAAAUCAAGAAAUAGUAAUAUAAACAUUUUAUUUAGAGAUUUGGAGGUGUACUAGUCUGUUCUCGCACUGUAAUAAAUUACCAAGACUGGGUAAUUUAUAAAGAAAAAGAGGUUUAAUGGACUCACAGUUCCACAUGGCUGGGGAGGCCUCAUAAUCAUGGCGGAAAGUGAAGGAGGAGCAAAGGCGCGUCUUACAUGGUGGCAGGCAAGAGAGCGUGUGCAGGAGAACCGCCUUUUAUAAAACCAUCAGAUCUUGAGAGACUUAUUCACUAUCACGAGAACAGCACAGGAAAAACUCACCCCCAUGAUUCAAUUACCUCCCACUGGGUCCCUCCCAUGACACAUGGGGAUUAUGGGAGCUGCAAUUCAAGAUGAAUUAGGGUGGGGACACAGCCGAAACAUAUCAGGAGGUUCCUGGAAGAAACAGAGUUGAAAGCAGUUAUCUUGCUGAGUGGGGGACUCAGGGCAUGGGCAGGAGACUGCUGAGUUUUGUUUUACGUCUUACUACAUUUGAUUUAUAAAAGACAGAUGUGCAUAUAUCACUUCAAAAAAACAAAAGUGGAUGUGGCUGAUGCCAAAGUGACCUGCCCCAGAAGAGCUGCUAACAGAACAGCAUCCCAGGAGGCUGCAGAAGGCUGAAGAGCAGAGCCCACACCUGCUAUGGGCCACAAGAGGCCCUGGAUGCCAUGGAGGCCGCAAGGGCCCAGGCGGGACUUGCAGAAUGAGAGUCCUAGGCCCAAGUAUAGAGUCCCUGGUGGGCACAGAGGAGAGACCAGGCGCUGCUGCAGCCUCUAGGAAAUCAACCGUGGAAACACACGGACCCUGCCCUCCCGGCGCCAGUGUUCUGGUGGUCAGGAGGUGAAGAAAACCAGCAAGAACCAGCACAGGAAUCCGACGGUGGCAGCGCCGAGAGAAACAAGCUUGGAGGGGAAGGAGAGCUACAGAGGCUGCAUGGAUGUGAUGGUUGGAGUGGAAGCUGACAUUGUGGGCCAGGAGACCCUGGGAGUACAGGCCAAGAUGAAAAGAGCCUCAAUCCAGAGCGUUCUGUGAAGCAGUCACCACGGCCACCCUGGGCCAUCAGCUUCUGGACUUUUACAACAUAGAAAUUAAAUUUCCAUUGAAUUUGUUGGAGUCAUUGUUCCUUCAGCUCUCUGUUACCUGCACUUACAUCUCUCUGUGAGUCGCGGAGUCUUGCAGUUAAGGUAUUAAUAUUAUUGCGUCUCAAGGUGCCUCAGGUCAGAGGUUCCAAAGGUGAAUGAGGGCACAGCUCUCCGUCUGAGACUCACGGUGGAGAAGCCUCCUCACCUUGCUCCUUCUCCCUGUCACCAAGAAAGGAGGUCUGGGGGAAGGAAGGGGUCCGUGUGGCCCUCCCGCCCCCACACUGUCCCUCUUGGAUUCUGCUAGCCUGUGGGUGUGGGCAGCAGCUCAGCCUGGCCCUGGAAUUUUCCAUAAAGGUCUUUCCAG
rnacentral:lncRNA from 10 species